UACGUAGGCAGCAAGCGUUGUUCGGAGUUACUGGGCGUAAAGGGUGCGUAGGCGGCCUUAUAAGUAUGGUGUGAAAUCUCCCGGCUUAACUGGGAGGGUGCGCUAUAGACUGUGGGGCUAGAGUGUGGGAGAGGAAAGUGGAAUUCCUGGUGUAGCGGUGAAAUGCGUAGAUAUCAGGAGGAACACCGGUGGUGUAAACGGCUUUCUGGACCAUAACUGACGCUGAGGCACGAAAGCGUGGGUAGCAA
rnacentral:rRNA from 1 species